rnacentral:tRNA from 1 species
UCCCUGCUAUCUCAGAUGGUAAAGAACCUGCCUGCAAUGCAGGAGACCUGUGUUCGAUCCCUGAGUUGGGAA